UCUGAUUUCUUUCCCCACCCAGAACACCGGCCUGUAAUUAGUGCCUGUCUCUGUAGUACGCAAAACCAAACUUUAUAAACUACAGGGCGCAAGUAAUGCCUAAUCUGUUUGAGAUGCUCUGUGUCAGGAUCUAGGCUAGCUGAGGCGGCAAAGUAGCCUUGUCCCUGAAUUUAAGGUAACUUGGUUUUGGUAGAAAGAGCUUGUGUUUGAAAGACCAGUGUGUAGCCAGAUCCUGACUUUGUGAUGAAUUUGCCAAGUGAUCCUGAUCACUUAGCCGUUCUAAACCUCAGUUUCGGGGCGGGGGGGAGUAUAAGGAUUAGAUGAAUUAACGUCAAUCACCUGGCACAUUCUGAGUAGUAAACAUUUAAAGGACUGGUAGGACUGAUGUGGUGUGGAAGAUUUAUGUGAUUGCAACACUUUAAUGAAUGCUAACAUGGCUGUAAACAGGCUACUUUUGAACUCUAAGGAGAGAAGGCCUAACUUUGCACAAACUCUAGUGUGCAGGCCGUGUCCGAGCCCAGCUCAGCUGAUCAGCGUGACCUUGGAGGAGCUGCUUGCCAUCUUCACCAGUGUGCUGGGGCGCUCGCCCUUUCUCCUUGUUGUUUCCCAUCACGACGUGGCCGUCAGGGGUUCCAAGAAGCUGGAAUGAGAGUAGUGCCUUCUCCGCCUCCAGGAUGUAAUCUGAGGUAAGAGGGAGAGUGUGAGGGGCCUUCACCUCCACCCUCCAUCCCUUCCACCCAUCACGAUACACAAAGCAACCACACCUUUUUCUUUUCCUUUUUUUUUUUAAAUCAGCAUCAUCAUAAUAAAUAAUAUUUAUAAUAUUUUUUAAAAUGUUAC
rnacentral:lncRNA from 1 species